CCUAACACAUGCAAGUCGAACGGUAGCACAGAGAGCUUGCUCUCGGGUGACGAGUGGCGGACGGGUGAGUAAUGUCUGGGAAACUGCCUGAUGGAGGGGGAUAACUACUGGAAACGGUAGCUAAUACCGCAUAACGUCGCAAGACCAAAGAGGGGGACCUUCGGGCCUCUUGCCAUCAGAUGUGCCCAGAUGGGAUUAGCUAGUAGGUGGGGUAACGGCUCACCUAGGCGACGAUCCCUAGCUGGUCUGAGAGGAUGACCAGCCACACUGGAACUGAGACACGGUCCAGACUCCUACGGGAGGCAGCAGUGGGGAAUAUUGCACAAUGGGCGCAAGCCUGAUGCAGCCAUGCCGCGUGUAUGAAGAAGGCCUUCGGGUUGUAAAGUACUUUCAGCGGGGAGGAAGGUGUUGUGGUUAAUAACCACAGCAAUUGACGUUACCCGCAGAAGAAGCACCGGCUAACUCCGUGCCAGCAGCCGCGGUAAUACGGAGGGUGCAAGCGUUAAUCGGAAUUACUGGGCGUAAAGCGCACGCAGGCGGUCUGUCAAGUCGGAUGUGAAAUCCCCGGGCUCAACCUGGGAACUGCAUUCGAAACUGGCAGGCUGGAGUCUUGUAGAGGGGGGUAGAAUUCCAGGUGUAGCGGUGAAAUGCGUAGAGAUCUGGAGGAAUACCGGUGGCGAAGGCGGCCCCUGGACAAAGACUGACG
rnacentral:rRNA from 1 species